rnacentral:rRNA from 1 species
CCUACGGGAGGCAGCAGUGAGGAAUAUUGGUCAAUGGGCGAGAGCCUGAACCAGCCAAGUCGCGUGAGGGAGUACUGCCCUAUGGGUUGUAAACCUCUUUUGUCGGGGAGCAAAAGCCGGACGUGUCCGGCUGUGAGAGUACCCGAAGAAAAAGCCUCGGCUAACUCCGUGCCAGCAGCCGCGGUAAUACGGAGGAUGCGAGCGUUAUCCGGAUUUAUUGGGUUUAAAGGGUGCGCAGGCGGAUUUUUAAGUCAGCGGUAAAAUCGUGGGGCUCAACCCCAUCCAGCCGUUGAAACUGGGGAUCUAGAGUGUGCGAGAGGUAUGCGGAAUGCGUGGUGUAGCGGUGAAAUGCAUAGAUAUCACGCAGAACCCCGAUUGCGAAGGCAGCAUACCGGUGCACAACUGACGCUCAGGCACGAAAGCGUGGGUAUCGAACAGGAUUAGAUACCCUAGUAGUC